rnacentral:rRNA from 1 species
GGACUACCGGGGUAUCUAAUCCUGUUUGCUCCCCACGCUUUCGCGUUUUAGCGUCAAAUACAAGCCAAGAAGCUGCCUUCGCAAUCGGUAUUCCUCUCGAGAUCUACGCAUUUUACCGCUACUCCGAGAAUUCUACUUCUCUCUCUUGCUUUCUAGCUUGCCAGUAUUGAUUGCUUUUCCCCAGUUGAGCUGGGGUCUUUGACAAUCAACUUAACGAGCCGCCUACACGCUCUUUACGCCCAGUAACUCCGAAUAACGCUUGCACCCUUCGUAUUACCGCGGCUGCUGGCAC